UUAGAAGCGAAGGUUGUGUCCUUACGUCUGAGACUAAUAAUGUGAUAAUGGAAGUUAUUAGGCAGCUUGCUACUGACUUAUAAACAAUAGAACGAGGCAGAAAGGAUGCUGUGUGAUUUCUGAGGCUAGAACAUAAAAUAUAGGAUAGCUUCUACUCUGUUGACGGACCGUUUGUGCUUGGAACACCUGGUUGCCACAUUCGAGCAAAAGAGAGAGCAGAGGACUGAUAACAAAUGGUAAGUGGUUCAUUGAUUUAAUAAUGGAAAUUUGAGGAUAUACUUAUCUAAAGAUAGUUUAUUAUAUAUGCAUGAGGAAGCAUUAGUUUUGGGAUUUGGAAUAUGAUGAAAGUAGAGACUUUUUGAAGGAGCCAGUAUUUGUAAGCCUAGUUGAGAAUGAUGACUAGAAUAUUUAAUAUUUAAUAUAAGCUUCAGGUUAAAUUUUCUAAAUUUGCUUUAGUUACUAUAAUGAUAUUCAGCUCUAAUUCACCCAGUCAUUCUGAUAGCUUAAACAUUCCAUUUUGAGUAAGAACUGGAGUUUUAGAAUAAGGCAAAAACCAAUAAGUAUCUCUGAGUAGCUUUGAGGGAAUAAAAGCAGUACUCAUUUAUAC